rnacentral:tRNA from 1 species
CAGAAAAUUUUUUUGAUCAUUUACAAUGAUCUAUUUGAUUAAUAAGUUUAAUCUUUUCUGA